rnacentral:lncRNA from 10 species
CUUGAACUCCUGACCUCGUGAUCCACCCGCCUCGGCCUCCCAAAGUGCUGGGAUUGCAAGUGUGAGCCACCACCCCUGGUGGUGGAAAUAAGACAUUUGUAACAUAUGGCUUUAUAGGCUGACAUGUCGGUGUUUAAACCCGGAUUCUAUCAUUGUGUUCUUUUAGCAGCACCUUCUAGGAUUUUCCUAGAAAAAAAUGCUGUUUGCCAAUGGCAAGUUAAGGAGCAUUUGCUUAUUGGUAGAUUAUUUAGAGAAACAUGCAAUUACAGAUGAAAUUUCUGAACAAGGCCCAAAUGAAUACAUUAUUAUUCCUCCACCAAGUGUCUGAUGCUAUUAUGAAAUUUGUCAAAUUCUGAGCAUCCCAACCAACAGAACUGAAUCAAGUAGGGUAAGGAAAGUAUUCUAGCUGCAUUGUGACACCCCAGCCUUCAGCAAAGAGCAUGCAUGUUUAUCACAGUAAGCCACACCUUUUAAGUUUUAGCAUUUUUUCUUUGGCUAAUAAUUUGUCUUGUUUAAAUACACUUCUUU